rnacentral:rRNA from 1 species
AACGAACGCUGGCGGCGCGUCUUAAGCAUGCAAGUCGGACGGCAAGGGCAGCAAUGCCCCUAGAGUGGCGGACUGGUGAGUAACACGUGGGUGACCUACCCUUAAGUUGGGGAUAACCAUUAGAAAUAGUGGAUAAUACCGAAUACGCUUGCUGUCACUGUGGUGAUGCAAGGAAAGGAGCUACGGCUCCGCUUGAGGAUGGGCCCGCGUCCCAUUAGCUAGUUGGUGAGGUAACGGCCCACCAAGGCGACGAUGGGUAGCCGGCCUGAGAGGGUGGACGGCCACACUGGGACUGAGACACGGCCCAGACUCCUACGGGAGGCAGCAGUAGGGAAUAUUGCGCAAUGGACGGAAGUCUGACGCAGCGACGCCGCGUGAGCGAUGAAGGUCUUCGGAUCGUAAAGCUCUGUCCUAAGGGACGAUAAUGACGGUACCUUAGGAGGAAGCCCCGGCUAACUACGUG